CCUACGGGAGGCAACAGUGGGGAAUAUUGGACAAUGGGGGGAACCCUGAUCCAGCCAUGCCGCGUGUGUGAAGAAGGCCCUCGGGUUGUAAAGCACUUUCAGUGAGGAAGAACGCCUGGUGGUUAAUACCCAUCAGGAAAGACAUCACUCACAGAAGAAGCACCGGCUAACUCCGUGCCAGCAGCCGCGGUAAUACGGAGGGUGCGAGCGUUAAUCGGAAUUACUGGGCGUAAAGCGCGCGUAGGUGGCUUGAUAAGCCGGUUGUGAAAGCCCCGGGCUCAACCUGGGAACGGCAUCCGGAACUGUCAAGCUAGAGUGCAGGAGAGGAAGGUAGAAGUCCCGGUGGAGCGGUGAAAUGCGUAGAGAUCGGGAGGAAUACCGGUGGCGAAGGCGGCCUUCUGGACUGACACUGACACUGAGGUGCGAAAGCGUGGGUAGCAAACAGGAUUAGAUACCCGGGUAGUC
rnacentral:rRNA from 1 species